GAGCCCGCACAAGCAGUGGAGUAUGUGGUUUAAUUCGACGCAACGCGAAGAACCUUACCAGAGCUUGACAUCCCUCUGAAAGACCGAGUAAUGUUGGUCCCUUCUUCGGAACAGAGGAGACAGGUGGUGCAUGGUUGUCGUCAGCUCGUGUCGUGAGAUGUUGGGUUAAGUCCCGCAACGAGCGCAACCCUUACGGUCAGUUGCUACGAAAGAGCACUCUGGCCGGACUGCCGUUGACAAAACGGAGGAAGGUGGGGACGACGUCAAAUCAUCAUGCCCCUUACGCCCUGGGCUACACACGUACUACAAUGGCGCAAACAAAGGGAAGCGAAACCGCGAGGUGAAGCAAAUCCCAUAAAAGGCGUCCCAGUUCGGAUUGUAGGCUGCAACCCGCCUAUAUGAAGUUGGAAUUGCUAGUAAUCGCGGAUCAGCAUGCCGCGGUGAAUACGUUCCCGGGCUUU
rnacentral:rRNA from 1 species